AUACUUACCUUAAGACGUCGCCAGAGAUCAAGAAGUCUUGGUGAUCAGGUAUACUUGUUUGCAUUGCACAGCGCAUCCUGUAUAUUUGCUGACAUUCUCCUUAUGGAGGAUGGGUGGGUCUUAUAAUUUUUGAUUUCACC
rnacentral:snRNA from 1 species